rnacentral:rRNA from 1 species
GACGAACGCUGGCGGCGUGCCUAAUACAUGCAAGUCGAACGCUGAAGGAGGAGCUUGCUUCUCUGGAUGAGUUGCGAACGGGUGAGUAACGCGUAGGUAACCUGCCUGGUAGCGGGGGAUAACUAUUGGAAACGAUAGCUAAUACCGCAUAAUAGUAGAUGUUGCAUGACAUUUGCUUAAAAGGUUCAAUUGCAUCACUACCAGAUGGACCUGCGUUGUAUUAGCUAGUUGGUGGGGUAACGGCUCACCAAGGCGACGAUACAUAGCCGACCUGAGAGGGUGAUCGGCCAAACUGGGACUGAGACACGGCCCAGACUCCUACGGGAGGCAGCAGUAGGGAAUCUUCGGCAAUGGACGGAAGUCUGACCGAGCAACGCCGCGUGAGUGAAGAAGGUUGUCGGAUCGUAAAGCUCUGUUGUAAGAGAAGAACGAGUGUGAGAGUGGAAAGUUCACACUGUGACGGUAUCUUACCAGAAAGGGACGGCUAACUACGUG